rnacentral:misc_RNA from 1 species
GCUCCAGGCAUACCCAUCAAACCAAUGCUUGCAAAGAUUACUAAUGGGGUCCCUCAAGUGAUGAAGCUCUUUCAGAACAAAACCUUUACAUGUGAAUACAAAUAUGAUGGUCAGCGAGCUCAGAUUCAUAAACUGUCUGAUGGUUCAGUCCGUGUAUUUUCAAGGAAUGGGGAUGAGACAACAUCUAGAUUUCCGGAUUUGGUAAAU